rnacentral:rRNA from 1 species
GGGAAGCAGGAGGGACCAUCCUCCAAGCCUAAAUACUACCUAGUGACCGAUAGCGUAUAGUACCGUGAGGGAAAGGUGAAAAGAACCCCGGGAGGGGAGUGAAAGAGAACCUGAAACCCUAUGUUUACAAGCAGAGGGAGCGAAAGCGACCUCGUACUUUUUGUAGAACGGGCCGGCGAGUUACUGUGUGCAGCGAGGUUAAGGCGUAGAGCGCCGGAGCCGAAGCGAGAGCGAGUCUGAAGAGGGCGAAAGUUGUGCGCAGUAGACCCGAAACCGGGUGACCUAUCCAUGGACAGGAUGAAGCGGCGGUAAGACGCCGUGGAGGUCCGAACCACACGUAUGUUGAAAAAUGCGGGGAUGAGCUGUGGAUAGCGGAGAAAUUCCAAUCGAACUCGGAGAUAGCUGGUUCUCCCCGAAAUAGCUUUAGGGCUAGCCUCGUUUUAGAUUACCGGGGGUAGAGCACUGAAUGGGCUAGGGGGCCACAAAGCUUACCGAACCCUAUCAAACUUCGAAUACCGGAUAAUUGAUGAACGGGAGUCAGACGGCGGGAGAUAAGUUUCGUCGUCAAAAGGGAAACAGCCCAGAUCUACGACUAAGGUCCCGAAAUCACAGUUAAGUGGAAAAGGAUGUGCAGUUGCACAGACAACCAGGAUGUUGGCUUAGAAGCAGCCACUCAUUUAAAGAGUGCGUAAUAGCUCACUGGUCGAGUGAUUGUGCGCCGAAAAUGUACCGGGGCUAAACUGUGUACCGAAGUCUAGGGAUCGUGAUAAACGAUCGGUAGGGGAGCAACGUGUGCGGGCUGAAGCCGAAGCGUAAGCGACGGUGGACUGCACGGGAGAGAGAAUGCCGGCAUGAGUAGCGAGAGCAAAGUGAGAAUCUUUGCCGUCGAAAGCCUAAGGUUUCCUGAGGAAGGCUCGUCCUCUCAGGGUAAGUCAGGACCUAAGCCGAGGACAAAAGUCGUAGGCGAUGGACAACUGGUUGAUAUUCCAGUACCACCUUUAGCGUUUGACUGAAGCAGUGACACAGAAGGAUAGACAGAGCGCGUGACUGGUAGAGCGCGUCCAAGCGAUGAGGGAGUUGAUUAGUGAAGUACGGUCAGCAAUCCUGGGUCGUGAUGGGGACUGAAAAUAAGUAGGGAAGCUGUUGAAUUCACGCUGGCGAGAAAAGCUGCUAAGGAGCGAAAGGGUGCCUGUACCGCAAACCGACACAGGUAGGCGAGGAGAGAAUCCUAAGACGAGCGGGAGAACCCAUGUUAAGGAACUCGGCAAAAUGACCCUGUAACUUCGGGAUAAAGGGAGCCACGAGAGUGGCCGCAGAGAAUAGGCCCAAGCGACUGUUUACCAAAAACACAGGUCUGUGCGAAGUAGAGAUACGACGUAUACGGGCUGACGCCUGCCCAGUGCCGGAAGGUUAAGGGGAAGUGUUAGGGCAACCGAAGCACGGAACUUAAGCCCCGGUGAACGGCGGCCGUAACUAUAACGGUCCUAAGGUAGCGAAAUUCCUUGUCGGG